rnacentral:rRNA from 1 species
UUGGAGGGCAAGUCUGGUGCCAGCAGCCGCAGUAAUUCCAGCUCCAAUAGCGUAUAUUAAAGUUGUUGCAGUUAAAAAGCUCGUAGUUGAAUUUCGGGAUUGACACAUCGGUCGUGCCUUAAGGGGUAUGAACUGGUGUAGUCAAUUUCUCACCUUCUGGAGAACCGCGAUGCCCUUAAUUGGGUGUCGCGGGGAACCAGGACCUUUACUUUGAAAAAAUUAGAGUGUUUAAAGCAGGCAUUUUGCUUGAAUACAUUAGCAUGGAAUAAUAAAAUAGGACGGCAUGAUUCUAUUUUGUUGGUUUCUAGGAUCACCGUAAUGAUUAAUAGGGAUAGUUGGGGGCAUUAGUAUUCAAUUGUCAGAGGUGAAAUUCUUGGAUUUAUUGAAGACUAACUACUGCGAAAGCAUUUGCCAAGGAUGUUUUCAUUAAUCAAGAACGAAAGUUAGGGGAUCGAAGACGAUCAGAUACCGUCGUAGUCUAACCAUAAACUAUGCCGACUAGGAAUCAGACGAUGUUAAUUUUUUAAUGACUCGUUUGGCACCUUACGGGAAACCAAAGUGUUUGGGUUC